UACAGAGGGGGCAAGCGUUGUUCGGAAUUACUGGGCGUAAAGGGCGCGUAGGCGGCCUGCUAAGUCGAACGUGAAAUCCCUGGGCUCAACCCAGGAACUGCGUCCGAUACUGGAUGGCUUGAGAUUGGGAGAGGGAUGCGGAAUUCCAGGUGUAGCGGUGAAAUGCGUAGAUAUCUGGAGGAACACCGGUGGCGAAGGCGGCAUCCUGGACCAACACUGACGCUGAGGAGCGAAAGCCAGGGGAGCAAACGGG
rnacentral:rRNA from 1 species